GCCGGGUGCGGUGGCCCACGCCUGUAAUCCCAGCACUUUGGGAGGCCGAGGCGGGUGGAUCACCUGAGGUCAGGAGUUCGAGACCAGCCUGGCCAACAUGGUGAAACCCCGUCUCUA
rfam:Pan troglodytes isolate Yerkes chimp pedigree #C0471 (Clint) chromosome 12, whole genome shotgun sequence.